GAUGAACGCUGGCGGCGUGCCUAAUACAUGCAAGUCGAGCGAACGGACGAGAAGCUUGCUUUUCUGAUGUUAGCGGCGGACGGGUGAGUAACACGUGGAUAACCUACCUAUAAGACUGGGAUAACUUCGGGAAACCGGAGCUAAUACCGGAUAAUAUUUUGAACCGCAUGGUUCAAAAGUGAAAGACGGUCUUGCUGUCACUUAUAGAUGGAUCCGCGCUGCAUUGGCUAGUUGGUAAGGUAACGGCUUACCAAGGCAACGAUGCAUAGCCGACCUGAGAGGGUGAUCGGCCACACUGGAACUGAGACACGGUCCAGACUCCUACGGGAGGCAGCAGUAGGGAAUCUUCCGCAAUGGGCGAAAGCCUGACGGAGCAACGCCGCGUGAGUGAUGAAGGUCUUCGGAUCGUAAAACUCUGUUAUUAGGGAAGAACAUAUGUGUAAGUAACUGUGCACAUCUUGACGGUACCUAAUCAGAAAGCCACGGCUAACUACGUG
rnacentral:rRNA from 1 species